rnacentral:sRNA from 1 species
AGGUACUGGCGGACACUCCGGUUCUUCCGCGCCGUUCGCAUCACCUGACGACUGCUCGCUACGUUUUGUUAGCC